UGGGGCCUGGGUGAGGCGCUGGAUCUUGCCGGCUGCGGGGCCUGGCCCUGCCGAAGGAGGCCUCCUCUUAGGACAAGAGCAGGCGUGAUGCUUGGGUCCUGCCCUGUAGGAAUGAGCAAGUUGGUCUUCCCUGGUUCCCUGACCCAUAACAAGGGCCGGGGAGGGGCACUGCACUGGGUCUCCUUGGCGAGCCCGGCGUUCCCUCAUCCCACCAGUCCAAGUGCCCCUCGCUCUUUCUGGGGCAGCCCCACUCUCAUGGAAAUUCUCUAAAGAGUCAUCCUGGUGAUGAAUGCCAAGGGAGCUAAACUUAGCCCACCGUGGCCCUGCCUCCCUUCGCCCCUGCGUUGGGCUCUGCGUUGGGUGGAAGCCUUGAGAGCAGGGAGUCCAUCUUGGGGUCCUCACCGGGUCCGCCCUGUGCCCUGGGCCUUGUGCCCCGACCUCAGCCCACGGCAGCUUCAGACAUCCUUGCUCAUCCCAGAGCGGGCACUGCCGACUCUGCCCAGCUCCCGGCACAGACCCGCCCACAGGGCCGGGCCUGCGGGAGGACCCACUGUUCCUGGGAGCACCUGCCAGGCAAAUGAAUGACCUGAGGUCUGACCUGGUUGGUGACUCCAGGCCCCUCCUGGCCUUGGCCAGACCCUCCUCGGGCUCCUGGCUCGUGCCCGAACCACAGGGCUUUCCCGCCCCCGGGACCACAGGCGUGGACUUCACCUUCUGGGAGCAACGUGGUCUGUGCAGCCCUCGUGGCAUUCCCAGGAGCCUCGGCUUGCCGGGUGCUGAUAAUUUCACUCUGGAGCCCGACGGUGCGGCUUGCCAGCUUCCAGAUGAGAGGGGAUUUACGGGCUCUUAGGAGUUCAAGCGAGUUCCCGCCAGCAGCCGCUGGAGCCCCUGGUGGCAGAGCUGUGGGAAGCGUCCUGGCUUUGUGUGCCGGCCCCUGGGGUCCCCUCCCAGGUGGCAAGGGCUCCGCCAGCAGCCGCACUACUCUCCUUAUCUGCGUUGGAUUACCACACUCGGGAAGGAAGAUGGAGGGUCGGGGGCUUUGGAUCCAGAGCCCAAAGCGGACUUUUGAGGGUUUGAGGGUUAGUCUCCUCCUGUGUGGAUUCUUGGCUGCACUUGGCCCCUCCACUAGGACCAGCUGUGGAUUCCUGGAACCUUGACCUGGGCCCUCACCAUAUGGAGUAGCUCUAGGGCUUAGAAGGGCCGGACUCUGCCCCCGAUGGCAUGGCCACUGGAGAAGACAGAGUCAUGCCUGUCUUCCUCAGACUCUCCCGCAUCCUCUGCCAAGGUCUGUUGGGACCCUCUUCCUGGUGUCCUGCCCACCUCACCCUCAGCCCAGAGCACAAAGGGUCCUGCUCUCAUAGGAGCUGGCCUGGGUGUCAGGCAAUGUCUUGCCCUCUGGCUGGAGCCAUGCCAUGGGGCAGGCAGCCGCUCUCAGGACUGUGCGCCAUGGCCCCCCCGCGCCUGCCCCUGGUCGAGUUGAGUCUGCAGGGGUGUAGGACCCUGGAGCACCAGGUCCUCCAGAAAACAUCAUCAUAGUGGUGCCGUUCAGCAAGGGAUCAUGGUGCCUCCAUCGAGGCACAGGCAUCUGGAUCCCCUGGUGCAGCAGUGCCCUGAGAUAGCCUCCCUGAUGUCCCAGGAGGUGACCAUGCCAUGAGGCAUGGGGUGCUUGAGUGUGGGGAUGCCCUCCUGGCCUGAUCCUCCCCCAGUGUGGCAGUUUUUGUGUCUAAUCACUGCCAUAGAUGGAGCUUCUGGGCUCUCGUGGAACCUGCUCCUGAGGGUCCAUAAUGGAAGCCAGGACUGGAGGUCAGUGGAGGAGAUGAUGGAGGCAGGGGCACUGAGCAUGGGGUAGCCCUGAGCACCCUCCACCUGCAGACAAAGCAGUCACUUCUGAGAGGUCCCCGGGACAAGAGGCAGGAGCUGACAGCUACUGGUCCCCACCAGUGUCACUGCAGGGCCAGUCUCAGGAAGAACCAGGCCUCGUGCUCUCUGCGCUCUGCUCCAUGUCCUCUCUUCCACCCGCGAGUUUUGAACAAGAAACCCCUCCAGCAGAGCCCCCAGAUGGCAGCAUCCAAAUGGCACUUCACAGAAAGAUCUUGUUUAGGACCAAAGCAAAGAGCUGGCUGGGGCUCUUGGAGUCCUCUGACAGAGUCUGGGCAUGGGAAUGCAUAUGCUCCCAAUAGGGAAACAGGCUCAAGCCAGUUCCUGUGGAUGCCUGCUAGGCAAGGUCAAACAGUUCAAAGCCAGAGGGAGGCUUCUCUCUCCUCCUCCAGGGCUUAGCCCAGCCCAUCCCCUGGCCUUGGCCCUUCACUUUGGACACGUCCAGGCUGAAGCAGGGUUGAGCCUCUGAUGCAAAGGCUGACCUCACAGCUCCUCCCAAUUCUCCCUCACUAGCAGCAGCCUCGUCUGCUUGACACGCUCUGGACCUUCCACCCCUCUCAAGGAAGCCACAGUUAAAAGCCAGCUGGGUUACAAUGCUCUUUCUAGAAACUCUAUCAGGGCCUUGGGGGACUGCUUACCAUCUAUUCACUGCAGUGCCCCAGGAAGAACAUAGUUCUGAAGAACUAGAGGUCAGAAAACCACCAUCACCAUUUUCAUCACCAUCAUCACCACAGUCAUCUUAGUUGUGGUCAUUGUCACCAUCAUUACCACCAUCAUCAUCAUCAUUACUAUUGUCACCAUCACUGUCAUUAGCACUAUCGACACCACCACCAUCAUCCUCAUCACUACCAUCAUCACCACCACCAUCCNNNNNNNNNNCCCCGCCCUCCGCCGCCUUCUUAACUGGGGAGGCUGCCCCACCCUCCGCCUUCUUACUGGGGAGGCUGCUCCGCCCUCUGCCUUCUUAACUGGGGAGGCUGCCUCACCCUCCACCUUCUUAUUGGGG
rnacentral:lncRNA from 1 species